UUCAGUGAAGAUCUCAUAUCCCAGCAAAAUUAAAAGUGACGAUCCCCUAAUUUCAUUGUUUAACCUGCAAUCAUUUUAAAGCACCUGCAUUCUGAAAAUACAUAAACUAUUCAGCAAAUAUAUAAAAGAAACAAGGUUUUUAGCACAAAAGGCCAAAGAAAGGUUCACACAAGAUUAAUAAAAAAAGUGAUGUCACAGCUCCCCAUGCUAUUGCCAGAGCUUCGAAGUUUGGAGUCAGAAGAUCUAGAAUCGACACUUUGCAAAGACCGUCACAAUGCUUUGCCCUUUCUUGUAUCCACAUGUUUUGUCAUAUAAAUUUGCAAUCCCCUCCCAUGGGGUUGGGGCAGACACAAUUUCUAUCCCUGCAUUCAGCCAUGUAUUGAUUUGGCCAAUGAGAUGUUAAAAAAUGUAAUGCAAAUAAAAGAUUGAAGUUAACUUAUACAA